CCUCCUUUUUCUCUCUUUUUUCGGAAUUACUGGGCGUAAAGCGCACGUAGGCGGACAUUUAAGUCAGGGGUGAAAUCCCGGGGCUCAACCCCGGAACUGCCUUUGAUACUGGGUGUCUGGAGUAUGGAAGAGGUGAGUGGAAUUCCGAGUGUAGAGGUGAAAUUCGUAGAUAUUCGGAGGAACACCAGUGGCGAAGGCGGCUCACUGGUCCAUUACUGACGCUGAGGUGCGAAAGCGUGGGGAGCAAACAGGA
rnacentral:rRNA from 1 species